AGCUCAUCCAGAGGGACUGAGGGAACGGCCCGUUGAAGUCCCGGCAACCCUCCUGCCGACCGCGAGGUCACGGUGGGGAAGGUGCCAAUUCCGUCUUGCGGCGAAAUGCGUCGCGAGGAAGAUGAGGA
rnacentral:ncRNA from 19 species